UGGUGGGGAAGAUGGUGGAGAAGGAGAAGAUGGAGGAGAAGGAGGAGAAGGAGCAGAUGGUGGAGAAGGAGAAGGUGUGCGGCGUCGCAACAAAAGCUGAGGAGGCCAACAACACUGACAAGACUGUGAAUCCCACUGAAGGAAGCGACUGAAGGACUUUUUUUUGUCCGAGGAAGGAGACAGUUUGAGGAAAAGACGGCCGAUGUGGUUAUAACCGGAUCACUGGAUGGAAACGGACCUCAAAACCAUCCUCACCCACACCUCUCUCACCCAGAGAGGGAGGCAUGACCUCCCCCACUUUGUGAGAUGGACACUAAAGCCACUAACCUCCCUCCCUCCCUCCCCUAUACACCCACUCCCUCCCUCCCCCGUUGUGUCCACCCCUUCGCUGCACAGACCUUCUCCAGCGUCCUCCCGUCCGCCAUUUUCCCCUCAGAAGGAAGUUCCAGUGGAGGAGGAGGUGGAGGGAGGGAGGGGUGACACCAUUUCUGUUCCGCCUGCCCGCUGUGCCGGGAGAAAGGAAAGAGGGGGCAGAUCCGGAGGAAAAAGGGAGAUUUUUUUGGACUUUUACCGACCAAAUGAACCCUCCGAAGAGGAUCGACGGAGCGUCGACACAGUCUGUUUUUUGGGGGACGGAAAAACUGCACAGCACUUUUCUCUCCGGGGUGCUUUGCCUUAAAAGGCCUUAAAGUAAAUAAAACGACCGUGUGCCAUCUUCGUACUCUCCCUUUUUUCUCCCCUACCGACGUGCACUCAAACACUUUUGACUUCAUGCUUGCAGCUUACUUUAAAAACGCAGCACUGACAUUCAUCCGAUCAUCUCUUUCUACUCACUCUUUAUUUCUUAUCUGUACAUAUUUUUGGUUAAAUAAUUGUCCAGUUUUCGGGGGGGGGGGGGAAGAAGACGUCUGGAGUUGUGUGAUCCAAAGAGGGCGAGCACCCUGUGUGAAGAGAAGCAUCGUAGACUACGUGGAAUCUGUGUCGUAGCAUCAAAGUGCUUCUUCACGUCACCAACGUGAACCUGCGUUUGUUUUUAAUGGAACUUUCUUAUGAAAUACAUUUUUUUGACUGUAGAAGAACUGAACUCUCACCAGAGUUCUAUACUUUAGGAUCGAUGUAUAAUUUUUACAGAUGGUAUUUGCAGAAUAAACAGAAUGUAACAAA